rnacentral:lncRNA from 1 species
GAUGGUGCAUCUAUAAGAGAAGGACCUAAUAUGAAUCUAGAUGGAUCUAAGUCAACGAAAGGUUUGAGUAUAGUAUAGUCAAGAGAUGGAUGAGAAGGAAGAGGAGGAACCAAAGACAUUGUUCAAAAGAAGAGAAGAGCCGAGAGAAUCGGUUACGAAAAGUGAAGAAGGAUGAAGGAGACAAAGAAGAGAUUUUAGUGAAGGAUAUGAGGAAAAGAAAUAAGAAUUGGAAGAGACAAAAAGAAUAGGAAGCUUGAGGAAGAAGAAAAGGCCGUCAUAUCGAACUGUCGCUUCAAUUACGAGUCCCAAGGUCGGCUAUAAUGAUGAAUAGACAGCGGCAAUUAAGAUGAUUUAAUUCACGUCGCACAUGAGACAAAAAUAGAGAAUGCGAUUAGGGCCGUAAAGAAGAGAAUAAACGGCUUAGAUUAAACCGUACAGAAGACCGUGGUGCAGAAUACGUCAGCGAAUUUGAAUUUGAUUGGACCGAGAAAUACG